GACCUGAGCUGAAAUCAAGAGUCAGACACUUAACAAACUGAGCCACCCAGGAACCCCUAAAUUUUUGAGAUUAGUUAAAAUCUAUAGUUAGUGCAACCAUCAUAUGUGCAUUUCUCUAGUUCAGAGGCAUAUUUAUUUUCUUCAGUGUUAAGUUCAUGGAAAGAGAAUGCCUCUCUGUUAAUCAUUGUAUACUGCCACACAUCUGCAUUAUGAUACUCUAAUAAUUUUUUUGAGUCCCUAUGAUGGACUGGAUACUCUGCUGGUGUUCUAUGAAGUUCUAAAAGCAGUCUAUUUUUAUAGGUUAGGAAACUGAGGGUCACAAGAGGCUAAGAAACUUUCCCUCAAACCUUACAGGUAUGCAAGAGUGAGAGUUGGGAUUCACAGCCAGUUCUUUCUGGCUCUUUUCACUGUGUCCCUCAGCCUCCCAUACUUUGUUUUUGAUGUUUUGUUUGAAAUUACUAAAAUGGAAAAUGGCAUGAAAGGUGGAAGAAGAUACUGUUUUCUUUUUAGUUCUUUUUUGGGAAACUAAUGUCAUCUAUUCCCUGAGCCUUACAUUUAUUUUAAUUGUGUCGAGGAUUUGGUUAGUAUCUAUGUCUGCAAUCAAAGAAAACGCAAUGGAAAAAUUCUGAAAAGAUGAGGAUGUAAGUUGCAUAUUUCCAAGUGAAGUAGGCCAAUCUGGAAAGACUACAACCCAAAUGAUUCCAACUAUAUGACAUUCUAGAAAAAGCAAAAUUAUGGAGACAGAAAAUGAUCAGUGGUUGCCAGGGGCAAGUGGGGGAGGAAGGGGUGAACAGGCAGGUAAUUUUUAGGGCAGUGAAAUUGCUCUGUAUGAUAAUAUUAUGGUAGAUUCAUGUCAUUAUGCAUUUGUCAAAAUCUAUAAAAUGUACAAUACAAGAGUAAGCUCCAAUGUAAACUACAGACUUCGGAUGAUAAUGAUAUAACAAUACAGGUUCAUAAAUUGUGACAAAUGAACCAUUCUGGUGGGGAUGUUGAUAAAGGGUGAGGUUCUGCAUAUAUAGGGACAGGAGGUAUAUGGGAACUCUCUGUACCUUCUGCUCAAUUUUGCUGUGAACCCAAAACUGCUCUAAAAAUAGAAGUUAUUUUUAAAAAGUGCAGUGGAAAGUAGCAAGAGGAAGUGGGUGUUCUUUGGAAAUGUUGCCUGCUCCCUCUUUGAAUAGAUGUAGCACAUUCAGUUACACAAUCACUUCUCUACCCUCACGAGCUUCCUUUCUCUUCUUCCACUCACCCAUCCUCAUCCAUUUUCUUCACAAAACCUUCAGCAGAGAGUAAAGCAUCUUUGUGUGCGUUUGUGUGUUGAUCUGCGGUUGUGGAAAGGAAGGGAAAUAUGAUUAGUGUUUGGUCUGAAUAAAGAAAGAAUCGUUCUGGUUUCUCCCCUCUCUCCACGUCAAGGUUGCCUUGGUAGAAUUGGAGAUCGUGAGGAUGAAUUGGAGGGGCUAGUAGAAUAAAAAUAAAAUUCUUGAAAUAAUUGUGAAGAGCUACUUUCUUGUCACCUGGUAUUUUUCUAUCUCAUAGUAUCUGUUAUAUUUCAUAAGCAUUAAUCAUCAAGAAAUACAACUCCUAGGAAGGUUUUUUUUUUAAUCCCCCAAAUAACUCAGUCCUAGAAUUUAAAGGCUCUAUAUGACAUUUUAUAUGUCAAAGAUUGCAGCUUCAAAAAUCCAUCAAAUCAGACAGCUCACACUGUUACUGGAAAGGAACAUUCGAAUAUGUGAGCAAGCUUAAUGGCCUCUGCUGCCUUUUAAGAAUAUAAAUGGACAGUUCUUCACAUGCACAGUGCUAAAAUUAAAUUAGCAGCAUGGGAUGGCAAAUGGGAAAAUAAUGACAUGAAACACCCAGGGUGCCUGCUACUUGCUCAGUGGGGAGGUGAAGACUCCAUAGGAGGCAGAAAGAAAAAAAAUAGGCUGGGCCAUCUAGAGCAUGUUCUAUGGUUGGCAUGGGCGAGGCAGUUGGGCAGUGCUGACAGCUGGCCUGCAAGUUGAAGAGGAUGGGAGAGUAGGAGGAACAGGCAGGCUUGACUUCAAGCUGUUUUGUGUGCAUAUGGCCACAAGCUGGCUCCCUGUCAAUCUACUGCCCACACCCUCCUCUCUUCAUCCUGAGUAAGUAUCCAUUUUGGAAUGUAGUCUGUCAGCCAAAGCCACUGGACAUUAAGUAGUUGAUCUGCUCAGACAGAAUUUGUUCCAACUAUAGAAAAAAAAAAAAAAAAAGGCAAAGGAUAUAAUGCUCUGGCGGUUUUUCCUUUAUUGAGAUACUAUAUUUCAGUCUUGUAAUAAAACUGACCUCUUAGGUCAAGGCUGGUGAAGGACAUUCCAGGAUAGACAAGGAUGGAUUUCAGGAGAGACCUAGAAUUUAAAUCCAUUUUAAAUUUGAAUUUAAAUCUACCCAAUCCAUUUUAAACUAAUUGUUUGCUGCUAUUUUGUUAAAGAUUAUUUCUGAAAGCUAUUGAGGAACACUGGGAAUCACUAGGAAUUCUAUCUAUCUCUGUGAUACUAUUUUAACUAUGCAUAGAAUAGUUUCUUAACACUUUAAAAAGAAUAGUUGAAGAAGUAAAAAAAAAAUAAUUGUUCAAAUGGGAUUUAACUAAACAGCUACAGACAUAUGCACUCCAUGAGAAGUAUUAGAAAAUUUUGUGCACGUGUGUAUAUGAAUGUGUAAGCAUGUGUGUGUGUAUUUGUUUUUGGUGGAAUGAUUGAAAAAGAAGCAUGCCAAAUAAAUAUGGUAUUUAUGUUGGUGACCUGUUUUUUUUUCUAUUUUAAAUUCCAAUGUAGUUAACAUACAGUGUUAUAUUAGUUUCUGGUGGACUGUUUGUUGAAAGGAUAAUGGCUGUGCACAUGUUUGGUAGAAAGGUGUCAACAUUUUUACUUGUGGUAAUAAGACCACAGAUUUGUGCAUUUCAAAAACAUGGCUUUUAUCAUUUUCUCAGGAUCCACAUGAAGGAAAAAAUUGGGAUCAUUCACCAGUCAUAAGCCAAGUGACUAUUCAUCUCAGUUCUGAAUAUAUCGGUUUUACAAAUUCUCUUUUACACAGGAAUGCUACCCAAGAGCAACCCUAACUUUUCCCCACCCACACACUUCCAGAAUUUCUUUUGAGAUCCAUAGAAAAGGGCCUUCUGUAUUUACAAAUAAACAAAUUUACAAUAUAUAUUGGAGAAACAAUUCAAGCAUAUAUUUUGAAAAUAGGGGGAAUAACAGUAAGCAAAGGUAAAUUAUAAAUCUAACUGGAAAUAGAUAUAUAUUUUAAAACCAGAGGAUCACACUAAACAGGUGCAUUUGGUAAGAGAGGGCAUGACAAUAUCAGAAGUUCAAAAGGAGAAUGGUAUUAAAAUUGUAAAUCAUUAAAGAUAACUUUUAUAAUUUGAACUUUUAAAUCUCAGAAUAUGUAGCAUAAAGGUGGGGAUGUGCAUUUAUGUGGAUUUCCCUUAAACCACCACACUGAACAUUUUUAGGCUGGCAUAAUAUAACUUUAUAAUUUAAAAUAAUUUGGUUUAUUUUUCUCCCUGUUUCAGAUCAAUGGAUCAACAUUACUGCAUUUAUUUUAAAUGGUGGCAUGGGGAGCUCAGGUGAUCUGUUAGCUGGUUCCAGAAAGAGUAUUAGACUUUGAGAGAAGCUAUGAAUAAAAACUCCAUUCUGUUGCCUCAGUGAUUAGCUAAGCCAUAUUGUAAUCUCAUGGUUUACUACAUGUGGGGCUGAGUGCUUACUGGUUAAAAAAAUGAGAGUGACUAAAAUGUCUUUAGACAAGAACUGAUUGGAGGGCACUUGUUGGGAUGAGCACAUUAUGUAAGUGCUGAAUCACUAAAUUCUACUCCUGAAACCAUUAUUACACUAUAUGUUAACUAACUUGGGUUUAAAUAAAAUGAAAAAAUAAUAAAAGAACUGAUAUUUUCAAACAUUGUGAUCUAAUAUCUACAAAGUGUUAGACAUCCAGGAGGUGGUAGUAGUGCGUAAUGAUUAAGAGUAUGGACACAACCCAGGCCGAGAAGAUUGAUUACCUUUCCAAAACAGGAGGGACCUAAGUGGUUCAGAUGUGGCAGAUACACGAAGGCAUCUAAACAAAUGAGAGACAUUUUUCACAGACUGAUAAUGUUAAAGUCAGCUGGAGGAGGCUACAUCUCCUCGAACCCUAGAUUGUCUCUUUGAUUCAUUGGAACAAUAUGACUAUUGUAAAAUAUGACAUCAUGGAGACAUUUUCUGAAAUCUGCAAGAGAGGGGUAAGGCAUGAUAACAGGAUUAGUCAGGCCAGAUUAGUCUCAUGUUGGCCUUACUGGAGUGACUGGUGCAAUUUAAUUCAAUAUUGUCAAAUGGUCAAUCUGAUUACACUUGAGUGUGUGUGUGUGUGUGUGUGUGUGUGUGUGUGUGUGUGUGUGUGUGUUGCAGGAGCAUUUGAAGGGAGAUGCUGGCCAAUGUAUUUAUGGGAAUUAGCUGGCAGGUAAAAGCAGUAAAGGAGAGGGUUAUAUGUGAUUGUAUGUGUGUUAGUUAUCUGUUGCUGUGUAACACAUUGCCACCAAAUUUAGAAGGUUAUAAACAACCUUAACCAUUUAGUAUCUAUCACCUUUUCUGUGGGCUAGAUGUAUGGGAACAACUUGACCAAACCGUUAUGGCUUGAAGAUUCUCAUGAGAUAGCAGUCAGAUGUCAGGUGAGACUACUGGGAUAUGAAGACUUGACUGAGGCUGGAACAUCCUCUACAAAGGUAACUAACUCCUAUGAUUGGCAAAUUGGAGCUGACUAUUGGUGGAAGUUCUCAAUUCCUCUCCCGGAGUGCCUUUCCAUGUGGCUGGUUGACUGUCCUUAUGAUAUGGUGGCUGGGUUCCACCAAAGUGAGCCAAUCAAAGAAACUGAAGCUUCAAUACCAUUGGUAGCCGAUUGUUGGAAGUCACACUGUCAUGUCUGCCUGUACUUUAGUUAUCACAUAAGCCAGCUCUGAUUUGUAUAGAAGGAGACUAAUAUAGAGCAUGAAUACAGAAAGUGAGGAUAAUCAGGGGACAUUUUGGAGGUUGGCUGUCACAAUCCAUUAAGAGAAAUUCCCUUUCCUUUUUCAAGUAAUUGGGAUAGAACAUGUUUUCACUAGGAAGUCCUUGUGAAUACUUGUCAUCAGACUGUGAUGUUGAAUCACGAUAUUUAUUAUAUGCAGGAGUACUGACAGAAAGUAGAAGUACAUUGGAAUUACCCUGUGGAGUAAUUAUGGUAGAAUUGCUAUCAAAUAGUGGUAAGAGAGAGAAAAAAAUCUGUCCCCCAGUCAGAUUAUCACAUUAAAAGAACAAACUGAACACAAGCAAACAAAGCAAAAAAACAUAAUGACUCUGGAAUGGCUAAAAAAACAAAACAAAACUGGGCUAACUUUUUGUAUUAGAGACCAAUCUGAAAAACCUGUCCUUUUUUGAAAAAUAUAUAUUUUCUACCUCAAAAGAGAAAGGAAGAAGCAUAUAGUCUGCGAACAUUCAAGAACAUGACACAAGUAGAUUGCCAAGAGGCUCUCUUCUGUUUUCUGCCAAGUAUCUCAAUGAUUGAACUGUACUCCUCAUUUGAGUUUACUGUAUUAUUGAAACUGUCAUGUUGUGUUAAGUGGAACCAUUUGUUUCUCCACACUGGCUGAUGAGUGUUUUAGGUUGGCAUUGUACUUGGCUGGCCUAUAUUCCAGUGUAUGAUGACUAAUUAGCCUGAACUUGGGUGACAGAGUUAGGAAGGGAGUAGUGAGUGGUUAGCGAGAUGUCAAUCCACUAUUGCCAACUCCUACCUCAAAAUUUCUUGUUCUAGGUCUCCAUUUAUCAUCCAUGUCAACUUUUCUGCUCGUUGGCUCCUGCUUGACAUCUAAAUCACAAUUUGGGUGACCAAAGGCAUUCUGAUACAUAAACAUUCCUUUGACCAAGUUGAGUAUGUAAUAAAAAUAAGUCCCAUAAGGGAUUCUAGCCACUGUGAUUGAUUGGAAACUAUUCUAGGGCUGUAAAACUAGUGGCAUUCAAAAUAAUUUUUAAUAUGGGAGGACUUCAGAAAUGUUGUAAGAGAACUCUGCAAAUUCAAGUUGUAUUGAUUUAUGGGUGAAUAACAAACCCAAGCACCAUAGUAUUUUCUUCCUCUCUAGAUCUGUGCUGUAAUGAUAUCCAAGUUUCAAAAUAUUACUUGUCUUGUAAUCUACCCAGAUUCUUGGCAUUUUAGCGGCUGUGGCCUAGAUUCGCAUUGCCCAUCCUAAUAUCCAUCUCCUCUUCAAAGAACUCUAAGGCACGUGAUUGUCUGGAAUAAGGACAACAUUUGCAGUUAGAUAUGGUCAUAUGCCUAAAGGUCUAGCCAAAGGCAUAUAAAUGGAAAUGCAUGACAGUUUCUGGGAAACUUCUGUAAGAUAGAUUAUAGGUGUGCUUUAAACCUGCUUCCCCCUUACUUGCUUCCUUCUGUUUAGAACUCAGAUGUGAUGGUUGGAGCACCAUGUUGGACCAAGUAUAAGUAAUCAUGAAAUGGAACUGAAGGCAGUCCAAGUCCCAGGUGAUGAGGAAGCCACCAUAUCAGCUCUUGCUUGCCUAUCCUGGAUGUCACGUGAGAAGGAAAUUUCUAUUUGGUGAAGGUUCGCAAGAGAGCAGCCGCUUGGGAAUCCUGAUGCCGAGAGUGAUAAUAAUGCCUAUUAGAAGUCACACCAGUGUUGAGAAAAGUUACAAACUUUUAGAAUGUUUCCAAAAAUUAUUCACAACAUUCUUGAGGUUACAGAACUACUUACCAUUUCUGGCUGUCCUUGGAGAAGAGACCCAGGAUGAUUCAGCCAAGCCGCAGGCAGACACGGUUUCAUAGAGUCUUUGCUGGUGUUAAAGGGAAGCCCUGACUCCAGGCCUUUUCCAUAGGGAUGUGAUUUGCUUUUAAGAGCCAGACAGAUGCUACAAAUCUUUCUUCCCAAGAAAAAAACAUUCUGAGAUUCCUCUCAACAAUUGAACACACCCAAGCUAGGCUGCUGGAGGAAUGUAAGGGACAUGUAGACAGAAUCAGCCACUGACAGCCAGUCAACCCGACAUGCAGGGGAUGUGGGAGGGGGUGUGGACUUUGGGAGGUGGUAGUACCUUUACAAAGAAGGCUCCAGAGAAACACCUUGCCCCUUCUAACAUGCAAGGGCACAGCAAGAAAGCACUGACGAUCAACCAGGAAGAUGGCCCUCAUCAGAAUCUGACCAUGCUGGAGCCUUCAUCUUGGACUUCUCAGCCUGCAGAAUGGUGAAAAAUAAGUUUUUGUGUUUUAUAAGCCACCCAGUCUAUGGUAUUUUGUUAUAGCAGCCCAAAUGGACUAAAAUAUGUGCACUCUUGAAACUAUCACCAAAAUCAAGACAAUGAACAAAUUCAUCACUCCAAAAAAAUAUCCUCAUGCUGUUUGUAAUAUCUCUCACUGGACUCAUCCCUGUCCCUCUAAAGUUUCUGGACAACAGUGAUCUGCUUUCUGUCCCUAUAGGUUAGUUUGCAUUUCUUACAAUUUUAUAUCAGUGGACUAAUACAGUAUGUACUCUUUUUUGUCUUUUACUCAGCAUUAUUAUUUUGAGAUUCCUCCAUAUGGUAGUGUGUAUCACUAGUUUAUUUUUUUAUUGCUGUGUAAUAUUCACUUACAUGGAUAUACUACUUUUGUUUAUCCAUUAACCUAUUGAUGGCAUUUGGGUGGCUUCUAGUUUUUAGCUACUAUAAUAAAGCUGCUACAAAUAUUUA